GGUCUUGUGGUCUAGUGGUAUGAUUCUCGCUUAGGGAGUACCCUGAGUCUAACUUGCGAGAGGCCCCGCGUUCGAGUCGCGGCAAGACCC